AUGCUCACUUCGGCAGCACAUAUACUAAAAUUGGAAUCAUACAGAGAUUAGCAUGGCCCCUGUGCAAGGAUGACACGCAAAUUCAUGAAGCAUCCCAUGUUUUU